AAUGCAAAUAGGUCACAAUCAGAUGGAAUAGAGAUCAAAAAAUUGAACAAUCAACUCAAGACUUUGGAACAAAAAUUUGAAAAGGAAAUUUCCCUAUUAAAUAAAACAAUAAUCUUACUCAAAAAGGAAAUAUCAACUUUGAAUGGUAAAUUAGUAAAAAGUGGAAACACACAAAAGAAAACAAGAAAGUAACUCCUAUUUGUCUACAUUGUAAAGACCCCCAUUUCACUACAUGGAAAGGGUGUAGAUAUUAUAAAAAGUUAAGGAAGGAAAAGUUAGAAAAAAUUAAACGACAAAAAGAACCAAAAACAGACGAACACCAUGUAAGCAGUGACGGGACUCUAAAAAAUGCAAAUAGGUCACAAUCAGAUGGAAUAGAGAUCAAAAAAUUGAACAAUCAACUCAAGACUUUGGAAAAAAAAUUUGAAAAGGAAAUUUCCCUAUUAAAUAAAACAAUAAUCUUACUCAAAAAGGAAAUAUCAACUUUGAAUGGUAAAUUAGUAAAAAGUGGAAACACACAAAAGAAAGCUAAAUAAACUUGGUUUAAAUAAUAUUUAUUAGGGAAAACAAAACAGUAAUCAAGGUGAUUAGAGUUAUCACCUUGAAGUGGUAAUAAACUUGCAUCUCUGCACUAUCAGAUUAAUUGGAAUUCCAAUAAUCGAUCGCUGAAUCAUUUGAACUUGAACGCUUUCUCAAUUGAGGAAAAUAGCUGGCUUUAGAUUUUAAUCUUAUCAAUGCGCAGCUUUAUUUACUUUAAAUAGUAGUAUAAUUCUAAUUUUAAUAAAGUAAUUAAUUAAUAGCACAUCUCUCACUAGAGAAAAUAACUCAUACGAGUUAGUUAAUAAAUCUCUCUGGAGAUAGUUGACUUAAAUCUUAAGUUUCUACUCUAAAGUAAACAGUGGUACUAAUACAAGGAAUUUUUUCCAUUUAUAAGUAGUAUUAUUUUAAUCUCACUAGAGAUAGUUGUUCUGAUUUUGUUUUUUACCCAAUUGGGUAAACAGUAGUAUCUAGCUAGGGGAAUUUUUUCCAUCAUUUAACUAUGAUGGUUUUUUAACCUACUUAUUUUAAACCUAUGAGUAGUAUAAAAGUAAAUAUCUUAGAUAUUAAGUAGUUAAUUAAUUUAUAAAGUAGUAUUAGCACUGUAAGUGACUUUUGUUGUAUUCUUUACUUUCUUUCGUAAAGUCGAGUUUUCACUCCAGCCGAUGUUAUAUCUGUUCAGAUAAUUUCCGGCGUGUCUAGUGUAGUAUUUAUUAUUUAUUUUAUAUAUUUGUAAAAUAUCAAUAAAAACACUUGACAAAACAAAAAAAAAAAAAAAAAAGUGCUCUCAAUACAGGGCCCCCAACUGAGUCCCUCGCGGAGAUCGUCG
rnacentral:lncRNA from 1 species